UACGUAGGCAGCGAGCGUUGUUCGGAGUUACUGGGCGUAAAGCGUGCGUAGGCGGGUCUUUAAGUCCGGGGUGAAAUCCUGGAGCUCAACUCCAGAACUGCCUUUGAUACUGAGGAUCUUGAGUACGGGAGAGGUGAGUGGAACUGCGAGUGUAGAGGUGAAAUUCGUAGAUAUUCGCAAGAACACCAGUGGCGAAGGCGGCUCACUGGCCCGUUACUGACGCUGAGGCACGAAAGCGUGGGGAGCAAACAGG
rnacentral:rRNA from 1 species